rnacentral:ncRNA from 1 species
CAACCUGAACUCAGUCGUGAUUCCCGCUGAACUUAAGCAUAUCAUUUAGCGGAGGAAAAGAAACUAAAAAGGAUUC